GAGGAUUUGACACGUCUCAGAUCAGAUGAGGUGAGAGUCCUGCAAAGCAGGUAGCUGGCUCCGCCAACGGCCGCGCGGCGCUGAGCUGAGCUGAGCUGAGCUGCCUCAGAGCCCGCCGCUCGCCCGUCAGUGCUAAAGAAGGUGCCGCGUACGGCUGCUAGGGCUCAGUUCUCACCUUGGCGAAGGGUGAAGAGCCGUUUUCCCCUCCCUUGUAACUCUUAAGCAAGACCAGUGGGCACCGCGGCUGGGAAUCGCUGCGAUGUCUGACUUCGGGGAGAGCUGGGUGUGCCUUCUCGCCCUUGGCAGGGGGCAAAUACGUGAGGCAGGCAGGUGGUCUUGUUCACUUGUCGAGUGCUUCACACUUAUUACUGAAAACUGGUUUAUCAUUGUGUUUUUGUAGUGCCAGGCUAGCUCUUAACCAUUGUCAAGAUCAGAAACAAACAAACAAAAAGAUGUUUUUGCCUAAUUUAGUGUAAUUACUAACUUAAAAUUACUGUCCUGGAGACUUCAACAUGGUAUAACCAUACAUCAGCAUAUUUUCUUUACGAAGGCAUAUUCAGUGCAUGCUUAUAUUGUUUGGCUGUACUUGGUGCACAAACUCCUUAAGUUUAACGUGCAUAAAAUUCAUCUAUAGUUGAAAGGUACAUAUUCUAUAUUUUAGUGUUCCUCCUUUUUUCCAUGACAAAUAUAAGACAAAUAGACAAAUAGAAAACUUAAUUUCACUCUAAUGUGGGGAAACAGCUGUGAUUUCAGAAAGUCGGAUUGCACAUGAGGAGCCCCUCCUGUUCAUCAGAAAACCCAAGCGCACCACACAUUUGGGACAAUGGGAGACAUCUUGCUGCCAUGGACAACUGUAAUGCAAGCGAAAAAUGGGAGGUACCUGACAGCUCAACUGUAAUCAGUCAGUGUGCUCCAAGGUCAUUUAAGCAAGCAUCCACCUGCCAUAUUGCUCUUUUUGUUAGCAAGUAGACAUGGGGAGCAUGUGCUUCCGAGCAGGUCAGUUAGUGUAAGAGAAACUCAGUUUACUGAAAGCAAGAGUAAAACCGAUUAUUAUUCUAGGAAUUGAGAUCAUCUUUAAAUGGAAAAUAUUUUCAAGUGCUUGUAGGAUAAAAAGUGUGAAGAAGAAGAAGUGAUUGAGAGUAUUUUCCCUGGGAUACAACUGUGCUGUUGACAGUAUUUUUGCGUCUGUAAAUCAUUCUUUCCCAAAUCCCACUUUUCCCCAACUGGGGACAGUUCCAUUUGCAUGACUUACCCUAUAGCUAAGUGAUAUUUUGAAUCCAUCGUUCUUUAUUAAACUUCUGUCCUGUAACUCACGUAUUCUGAACUGGCAUACUCCCAGUUCCUCCGUCUAACUUCAUAAAGGAAUCAUUUAAAAAAAUCAGGCCAAGACACUCAACAAGACUCAAAAAAACCCCGUAUUUGAAUUAAUUCUUUUUUUUUUCUUCAAAGACUUUUUUCGCCAAAUUAACUACCCACAGAUAGGCAGUGUUCCCUGUUAAGAACACUUUGCCAACACAUCUCACCCUGGAACUGUCAGCUAGAAUACAGAAUCUAUAAUGAUUGCAGCUGCUAUUACAGAAUGGAGGAAAAAAGAGAAAGCAAGUGAAUAAGAGCUUGAACUAGUCAUCAUUUUGAACCAAAUACAAAAUAAGAUAUAAUCCAGGGCAGGGCGUUAAAUACUAUUGUGAUGAGAUAUUCUUUCCCCUGCUUAUCCUGCUCAAUUGGUAAAUAGUAUCAUCAUAGGCAAGCUGUGAUGUGAUUGGUGUGGUAAAAUAUGUUCAGAAGGCUAGCAGGCAAGACAAGAGCAUAGAUUACUACUUUGUGCAGAAGAUAGCUUUAAUUAUAUGAUAAACUACUUGCAAUUCUAUUCUGUCAAUUGUAUUUCCCUUCUAUGCAGUUCUUUUCAGAUUUCUAAAAUAAAUUUUA
ensembl:lncRNA